UGAGUGCUGUGCAUGCCUUGUCUUUUUGAAUCCUUAUUCCAGAGCCGGCAAGAUGGGGAAACUAAGGCUCAGAGAUCUUACCGACUUGCUCGAGGCCACCUAGCCAAAAAGUGGCAGAAGGAAGCUUGAAAAAUCCAAAAUGACAUCAUGGGAUUGAACUGAGAACGGUUGAAGAGAAGUGAUUAUGGGAGCCUUGGGACCAAGCCUGUCCCUUUACCUUUCAGCAAGUUGUUUGGAGACGUUCACCAAGAAGUCUGCAAAUGAAUGUUCGCUUUGCAGAGAGCAGAGGUCGCCAGCUACGGCUUGCGGACCAAAUGCAGCCCACAGAGCAAAGCUGGUCCCGCUGUUUUUGCAAAUAAAGUUUUAUUGGCACACA